GGCUUUCAUGCAGUAUGAAGGCCAGAAGCCUGCUGCCAGGGCGAGGGUUAGAGUUAGGGUCAGGGUCGGUGUUAGAGUCAGGGUUAGGGUUAGCGUUAAGGUCAAGUUAGGGUCAGGGUCAUGGUUAGGGUUAGAGCUAAGGUCAGGGUAGGAUUGGAGUUGAGAUCAGGGUUAGGCUGAGGGAAGGGCCUCCUGACUCCACUACAGUAUUCCUGGCUCUUCAAGGCAAAGGCAGCUUGGAAGCUUGGGCGGGUGAUUGUCAGUGAGUCACGAGGAGGAAGGUCUGGGUGUUGCUGUUGCUCUUGGCGAGCCUUGUGAGGAGAAAGCUGACCUCCUGCCCUCUGGUGAAUGUGUUUCACAGUUUUGACCUUCUCUUUCCGUCUCCUUGUUUUGUUUUCAGAGUCUUAGUACAUGAAGGAAAACAAGUCAUGGCGGACUCAGGACCCAUCUAUGACCAAACCUACGCUGGUGGGCGGCUGGGUCUGUUUGUCUUCUCUCAAGAGAUGGUCUACUUCUCGGACCUCAAAUAUGAAUGCAGAGAUGUCUAAGCAAGAUUUGCUGUGUUUCCAGCAAAGUACUGUAGAUGCUGUUACCCAGACACCUCAGUCCAUCCCAGUGCUUCCAGCUACUCUCUCUAGCAGACCUCCUAUCCCUGACCCUAACCUGAGUGGUUCUUCACCUGCUGUCCUCAACCCAAGCCCAAGUGCCUUCAGAGGAUAAAUAAUAAUGGAACUGAAAGAUGAACAUCCAACCCACUACAGGAAAAGCAGUUUGAGAAUCCACGAGACUUCAUGUGGAGUGAAAAUUGAGCAUGAUAUUGCAUUGUUUUUCUUUUCUUCUGUGUUUAAAAAGAAUGACGUUUACAUAUGAAAUGUAAGUACUUUUUGUAUUUAUGUGUAUAUGGAGUUGAAGGGAAUAUUGUGUAUAAGCCAUUAUGAUAAAUUAAGCAGGAAAAAUAUUGCCACACUACUUUCAGUGCUUAAAGUUGGGUGUGAGAGCACCCAUAUAUUGUUAGGUAAAUUAUAAAGAAGGGUCAACUCAAGUUUGAAGUAAUUCCAUCAUCAGAAAGAGGUCAGGAGAUAGCAGUCACAUAUGUGGGAUGUCAGGUAACUAACUGGAACAUCAGAAAUACCCAUGGGAAUAAGUGAAUACCCUCUCCCCGACUCUCUUGUCCCACAAUGGAAGCCCUCAGAGAUGUAGUCUCCUCAAAGAAGGACCAUCCUUGUGAGACAGCUCUGCUGUGGGUCUAGAUGUGGGUCUGGCAAAGCCCUGCUGACCUGGUGGUUUAGCAGAGGAGGCGCCAUCAUUGUGGUGGCCCUUCCAGCCACGGUGGACCUGGGAGAACUCACGGCCAGUUGGCCCUUGGUUCCAAGGUCUGGUCCCCAGAAUCCUUGCUGGGGCUCCUUCCCAUCUCUGCUGCUGUAGAAGAGCCAGUGGAGAAGCGGUUGGCACAUGCGUUUCUGCAUCUAAUCCCUCGUCGAGGCUUUGACACUGUGGGCAAGUUGCUUUUACCCAACUUGGUAACACAUUCCAUUAAGGUUCCAGUUAUAAAUGUUGUGUUAAUAUUUAUUAAGUGAGUAUAGAAUGCAGUUCUGUUCACCAGUAACUUAUUUAAAUAUGCCAAGUAGUGCGUACGUAGUAUAAUUUCUAGAAGCCAACAUAUAACUAGCGUAUAAUAUAAAGAUACAGUUAUAGCAAGAAAUCUUCUGUCAAAAUACAAGGCUUUAUAAUGUCAUAUUGCCGUGAUCAAGCAUGCUGCAGAAUGUGAUAGAAUAAACAAAUAAUAAUGAAGAGUUUAUAAUGGAAC
ensembl:lncRNA